rnacentral:snRNA from 1 species
CUGCUUUGGCAGCACAUAUACUAAAAUUGUAACAAUGCAGAGAAGAUUAACAUGGCCCCAUGCAAAGAUGACAUGCAAACUCGUGAAGUGUCCCAUAUUUUU